rnacentral:rRNA from 1 species
AUGCAGCAGCCGCCCGGUUUUGAGGAUCCUAGCUACCCUCGCCAUGUGUGCAAGCUUCGGAAGUCUAUCUAUGGUUUGAAACAGUCACCACGAGCUUGGUAUUCUCGCCUUAGUGACCGGCUGCAACAGCUCGGUUUUCACUCAUCUAAGGCUGACACUUCACUAUUCAUCUUCCAGCAUGAUUCUGUGGUUAUUUACAUGCUUGUUUAUGUUGACGAUAUUGUCAUUGCUGGCUCCUGUUCUCAAGCGGUGGACCGUCUGCUUCGCACCCUCUCUCGGUCCUUUCCUAUCAAGGAUCUUGGUCGUUUGGGUUACUUUCUUGGGGUUGAAGCCACCUACAACUCAGGGGGAAUGGUGCUCUCGCAGCGCAAGUACGCUGAUGAUCUUCUUCACCGAGCACAUAUGGAGAAUUGCAAGGCGGUUUCCACACCCAUGUCAGUUACAGAUAAGCUGGCAGCAGAUCUUGGCACUCCUCUUACUAAUGAUGAUGCUUUUAGUUACCGCAGUAUGGUUGGAGGUUUGCAGUAUCUUACGCUCACUCGGCCUGAUAUUUCUUUUGCUUAA